rnacentral:rRNA from 1 species
UACGGAGGAUGCAAGCGUUAUCCGGAAUGAUUGGGCGUAAAGCGUCCGCAGGUGGCUAUGUAAGUCUGCUGUUAAAGAGUGAGGCUCAACCUCAUAAGAGCAGUGGAAACCACAUGGCUAGAGUGCGUUCGGGGCAGAGGGAAUUCCUGGUGUAGCGGUGAAAUGCGUAGAGAUCAGGAAGAACACCGGUGGCGAAAGCGCUCUGCUAGGCCGCAACUGACACUGAGGGACGAAAGCUAGGGGAGCGAAUGGG